UACGUAGGGACCAAGCGUUGUUCGGAUUUACUGGGCGUAAAGGGUGUGUAGGUGGCGCGCUAAGUCGGGUGUGAAAUUUCGGAGCUUAACUCCGAAACUGCAUUCGAUACUGGCGUGCUUGAGGACUGGAGAGGAGACUGGAAUUCAUGGUGUAGCAGUGAAAUGCGUAGAGAUCAUGAGGAAGACCAGUGGCGAAGGCGGGUCUCUGGACAGUUCCUGACGCUGAGGCGCGAAGGCCAGGGGAGCAAACGGG
rnacentral:rRNA from 1 species